CUCAACCUGGGAACUGCACCUGAUACUGUUUGACUAGAGUUUUGGAGAGGGAAGUAGAAUUUCAGGUGUAGCGGUGAAAUGCAUAGAGAUCUGAAGGAAUACCAGUGGCGAAGGCGACUUCCUGGCCAAAAACUGACGCUGAGGUGCGAAAGCGUGGGUAGCAAACGGGAUUAGAUACCCCGGUAGUCCACGCCGUAAACGAUGUCAACUAGUCGUUGGCCUCCUUGAGAGGUUAGUGACGCAGCUAACGCAUUAAGUUGACCGCCUGGGGGAGUACGGUCGCAAGACUAAAACUCAAAGGAAUUGACGGGGGCCCGCACAAGCGGUGGAGCAUGUGGUUUAAUUCGAUGCAACGCGAAGAACCUUACCAUCCCUUGACAUCCGGAGAAUUUGCAAGAGAUUGCUUAGUGCCUUCGGGGAACUCCGUGACAGGGUGCUGCACGGGCUGUCGUCAGCUCGUGUCGUG
rnacentral:rRNA from 1 species